rnacentral:misc_RNA from 1 species
CAGAGUUACUAAACUCCCAAACCCAUGUGAACUUACCUUAUGUUGCCUCGGCGGUUACCUACCCUGUAGCUACCCUGUAGCUACCCGGUAGCGCGGCCGCCGGUGGACCUUCAAACUCUUGUUUUAAUAUGGUCAUUCUGAGUAAUUACUAUAAUAAGUCA